rnacentral:rRNA from 1 species
CAGCCGCCGCGGGAAUACGAAGGGGGCUAGCGUUGUUCGGAAUCACUGGGCGUAAAGGGCGCGUAGGCGGCCAUUCAAGUUAGAUGUGAAAGCCCUGGGCUCAACCUAGGAAUUGCAUUUGAUACUGUUUGGCUUGAGUUCGGGAGAGGUGAGUGGAAUUCCCAGAGUAGAGGUGAAAUUCGUAGAUAUUGGGAAGAACACCAGUGGCGAAGGCGGCUCACUGGACCGACACUGACGCUGAGGCGCGAAAGCGUGGGGAGCAAACAGGAUUAGAUACCCCCGUAGUCCCUGUCUCUUAUAC